AUGGUAGAAACAGCUCCUUGUAUUCAUGAACUCAACGGAUCAGGGUUUUCAGGUUUUCAUUUCUCCCAAUUGUUGGCUGCUACAAAUAAUUUUGCAUUCCAAUGCAAAAUUAGAAGUUGUGGAUACGCUGAUGUGUAUAAGGGACGAUUGGACAGUGGACUUGAAGUCAUGAUCAAAAGAUUUCAUCAAAAUAACUCCCAUUCUUCACUCACAUUUGAAAAUGAAGUCCGCUUUCAUGCAAAGCUUCUACACAAAAACGUUGCUAAGCUCAUUGGAUGUUGCAGUGAAAGAGGAGAAGCACUUUUAGUCUAUGAAUCUCUACCAAAUGGGAGUUUGUCUGACACGGUAACUGGAACAAGGGUGUCGCUCAACUGGUCUGAGCGCUUCAAAAUAAUUUUAGGGAUAGCCCGCGGGGUGGCCUAUCUACAUGAUUGCUGUGGGAUACAAAUUAUGCAUGGGGAUUUAAAUCCACAAAGGAUUCUCUUAGAUUCUUACAUGACUCCUAAGAUUACUGAUUUUGCUUUUGCAAAAGUGUGUAGUCCGGAUGGGCGUGAACGACACAAGGGUAGUUUACUCGGUACAAGGGGUUAUAUGGAUCCUGGAUAUGUUAUUGACCGUAUCUACUCAGUUAAGAGUGACGUGUAUAGCUUCGGUAUCACUCUUCUUGAGAUAAUUACUGCAAAGAGGCCCGAUGCACUUUUCAAGGAUGCAGGUGAUCUUGUCAGAUUGCCGACAAUGGCAGGAUCAAUGGAGAUGUACCACAUGAUAGAUCCAGCAUUGCAUGGUGAAUCAAAAAUGGCCGAGAUAAUGAGAUGCAUUCAGAUCGCGGUAUGGUGCUCCAGGCCCAAUGCGGGAGACCGGCCCAGCAUGUGGGAUGUUCUUCUGAUGCUCAGCUGCGAGAGUGCAACCUUACGUGUGCCGGAGCCAUCCCAGAGCCAGUGCGACACACAGGAGCCGUGUGAAGGGGUGCUAUCGGAUUCGGAGAUAACUGAACCAAGAUAG
rnacentral:rRNA from 1 species